rnacentral:rRNA from 1 species
AAUCAACGCUGGCGGCGUGCCUCAGACAUGCAAGUCGAACGCGAAAGUCCCCUUCGGGGGAUGAUUAGAGUGGCGCACGGGUGAGUAACACGUAGGUAAUCUACCUUCGAGUGGGGAAUAACUCAGGGAAACUUGAGCUAAUACCGCAUAAUGCAGCGGCACCACAUGGUGACAGUUGUUAAAGCAUUUAUGCGCUUGAAGAGGAGCCUGCGGCAGAUAGCUAGUUGGUAAGGUAAUGGCUUACCAAGGCUACGAUCUGUAACCGGCCUGAGAGGGCGGACGGUCACACUGACACUGAAUAACGGGUCAGACUCCUACGGGAGGCAGCAGUCGGGAAUUUUGGACAAUGGGCGCAAGCCUGAUCCAGCCAUGCCGCGUGCGGGAAGAAGGCCUCGGUUGUAACGUC